CAGAGGGCUCUCACCGGGCACAGAAUCCACCGAUGGCAUGAUCCUGGACUUCCAGCCUCCAGAACUGUGAGAAAUCAAUGUUAAGCCAGCCCGCCUCCCCCCACCCCCACUUCCCGCCUCAGUUCUGUUCCCUGAUCCCCAGCCCGGGCCCCUCCGAGGGCUGUUCCCUCUGGGAAGUCUCAGCCCCCUGGGGCCCAGGAUCGGAUAUUAGCCCACGCCUCUGCCCCUUCCCAGCUGCCCUGCCUUCGGGAUGAUGUCCAGAUUCUGACGGUCCUGCAGGUCCUGGCAGGUUGUGACCGACCUGCUGUCCCGCCUGAGCUGUCACCCCUGCUCCUGUCACAGCACUCCUGACCGACCUGCUUGCUGCUCCACAGAGUUCUCUCCCGUGCGGGGUGGGGGUUUGCUUCUGUCCAUCCUGCUCUCGGGGGCUCCCUUCAUCCUCCUUUGGUGGCCUGGUCCUUCUUUGUCCCCAAUCUCAAAUGUCACUUCUGCUAAAAUCUCCCCUGGCCCACCUGGGCCCCCUCUCCCCAGAGUCUCCCCUUCAGAGCCACAAGCACCAGGCUGGGCUGCCUCCUGGUCGAAUCCUUUGAGCUUUGCAGCCCCUGCGGCGGCCCCGCCAGGGGAGCUUUCAUCACAGACCUGGCCUGGCAGGUGGGGCCAUGUCCAGGGGGCAGACGGCCCUGCCCCCACUAGGACACCAGGGUAGAGGCUCUCCGAGCGUGGACCAUGAUAUCAGUGCCACUGGAACGGUCACGGGUGAAGAUUCUCAGACCUCAUCCAGGCCGGUGAAUCAGAAGCCCCGGGGAGGUGUGCUCCUGCAAGCCCCCCAGGGGCUUCUGAUGCCGGCCAGGUAUGAGAGCCCCGGGCCGGGGAGAGAACUGCCAGGAUGAGCUGCCGCCCCCUUGGCAGCCUCCCCUGUCCCCUGUGCACUCAGGUCUCCACGUCAGCAUCCGAAGCCUCUGUGUCCUGAAGGCGCAGUCCGAGGAGACGGUUUGCCACCAAAGCUUAAAGCCAGGUGUCAAUAAACCCACUGGGGACCAGGCCGGACGGACUUUGGAAGAAAAGGUGCUGCGUGCCCUUCAGCAGUUCCAGCGAAAGACCCAUCAGUUGGUGCCUCGGUCCCCUGGGCUUCCAGCCAAGCACACCUGACUGGAUUAAUGAGCAUCUGGUUGGGGAAGAAAAGGAGCCAGAGGCGGCAGGACAUUUGUGAGAGAAGCGGGGGACACCAUUCACCAGCAAGAACAGCAGCAUAAGCCGGCGUGAACUCCAACCAUCCUGGGCCAGUGCCCGGGGGUCCCCUGGCUUGGAACCAGUUGAAGCUGAUUAUGAGAGAUUCCACUGUCAUGCUGCAACCAAGCAAAAACACAAUAUGCACAGUUGCUAGAAAAGUCACCCCUCCGUUGACUGUUGUCUGUGUGCAUCAGAAAGGUGAUGCCACAGACCUGUGGUGAGGGCAAAGUGGAAUGAGACAAGAGUGACAGUUUGGCGUGGAGGGUGGCAUUUGGCUACGUAAGGACACAGCGCGGACCCAAUUACAACUGAGGCCAGAGCCAUUGUAUCCCAGGGUCAAAACGGGGACCUUGCUGUUCCCCUGCUCCAAGCCUCUAAGCAGCUCCCCAUGGUUGACUGAGAGAAGCAGGCCACCUGCACUGAAGACUUGCUCUCCGGGCUCCAUCCUGGAAGCACAGGCCUCCUCCCAGCUGGCCUCCAGGAUGUCUCACCCCCGCGCCUCUGCUCCAUGGUGUAUGGAAGUUCCCAGGCUAGGGGUUGAAUUGAAGCUGCAGCUCAGCCUCCGCCAGAUCUGAGCCACAUCUGCCACCAACACCACAGCUCACGGCAACACUGGAUCCUUAACCCACUGAGCAAGGCCAGGGAUACUAGUUGGGUUCGUUACUACCGAGCCACCACGGGAGCUCCAGGUGAUCCUUCUGAGGAAAGGAAUUGAGGUUAUUUAAUUGGGGGAGGGUCAGGAGUGCCUGAGCCCCGUCUUGACGUGGUUAUCAAGGUUGGGAAAGAUGUUGUCUGCUCGUCUCCUGUUUUUGCCAAAAGCCACUCAGAUUGAGUUCCAGGAAGGACUGUCUUGCAUGAUGACACAUUUCGGCCGGGUCCCUAUUCGGGACAGACCCAGGGGAGCAAGCUAGAUUCUGGGGCGAAGCGGCUAAUUCCAACUGGGACGGGGGACUUCAGACGCCAGCCUCCUCUCUGAAGGGGACGCUGGGACAGUCUGGGGAGAGAAACUCGAGGCCUUCGGUUUGUGAACAAGCUGGCGGGAACCGCCAGGACGAAGGUGUGGCGAGCGGCCCAGGACAGGGAGGCGGGAAUCUAAAGCUGAUGCGACAGAGACUCGACCCUCUGCUCUGUUCUGCUUGAAGGUGGGUGGGCGACAGCUGUGGCAGGGGGACACCACUGGACAGACAGGCACUCUCGUGAUCCUUAGCGCCUUGGAGCCUAGAGGGGCAGGGAGGGUCCCGUCGGGGCCAGAUGUCCUUAAGAAGAGACAGAAAAAGAACCUCUGCGUGCCCACUACGGGACGGAAGUCGCCUCCCUCCCCUCCUUCCUUCCCUCCGAUUCAUUCAUUCAUUCCUUCGACCUGAGCCUCGGUGCUGUGGCAGCUGCCAGCACAGAAGCAGAGCAGGGAAAGAUGAGAGGCGAGGCGGAUGAACAAGUGCAUUGUGGGGCCGUAUGAGAGGUGCGUGGAGGCUGCGUGGAGGGUUUCUGGAGGAAGUGAACAAGGAGGAGCUGGUCAGGGAGGAGGACUGGAGCGAGCAGGCCCGUCACACACCCCAUCAGCCCCAGCCCUGGUCCCGACGAGGACACCGAGGUUCAGGGUGGACCUCGGAAUCACGGCUGGCAUGUCGCAGGAUUCCAGGGCAGUUUUCUUGACUCUGAGGGGAGCGGGCUCUCCAGCAGGCCGCAGAACCUUCGGCUGGGUGAUUUUUGCCGAAGCCUUUGGCCCCGGCCCUGCAGCCUGCCAUUGGCUCUCUUUCAGGGUCACGGGAGGGAGAAACCCUUUGCUCUGAACGUUGGUUUCCCUUCCUGUUUCGCUUCAGUGGGCAUUACAGGCUCUGAAUGGGGAGCCUGAGCCCCUGGCUCCCAUGGGCUGGUGGUUCGGAAAGCAAAGCAGCGCACGCAUGUGGCCGGCCACGAUGGCCGGGCUGCGGUCCCCAGAGGACACUCGGUCCACAGCAGACACCCCCCGCCGCCCCCUGCCACCCCCUGCCCACCCCACACAUGCUCAGGGCAGGGAGGCUUUCUGCAAGCCCAGUCUCCUCGGGGCUGUGCUGUCUGGCCCGCAGGACUCAGUGGAUUCUCUUUUACAGAAAUACGCAUUUCAGAUAUUUUGUGGCUUCUAGUACGUUUUGUUUAAAAUGAGUUGAAGUUGGAACCUACAAGAGAUAUUUGAAAAAUCUUCCUUAAACACUGAAAAAAAAAAAA
rnacentral:lncRNA from 1 species